UACGAAGGGGGCUAGCGUUGUUCGGAAUUACUGGGCGUAAAGCGCGCGCAGGCGGUCUUUCAAGUCAGUGGUGAAAGCCCGGAGCUCAACUCCGGAAAUGCCAUUGAAACUGUAAGACUUGAGGAUGAGAGAGGUGAGUGGAAUUCCCAGUGUAGAGGUGAAAUUCGUAGAUAUUGGGAAGAACACCGGUGGCGAAGGCGGCUCACUGGCUCAUAUCUGACGCUCAGGCGCGACAGUGUGGGGAUCAAACAGG
rnacentral:rRNA from 1 species